AUGAACGCUGGCGGCGUGCUUAACACAUGCAAGUCGAACGAUUAAAGCUCACUUCGGUGAGUGUAUAGAGUGGCGAACGGGUGAGUAACACGUGGGAAACCCGCCCCUUUCUUCGGGAUAACUUCGGGAAACCGUUGCUAAUACCGGAUACUCCGGGAUGGUCGCAUGGCCGACCCGGGAAAGCUUUAUGUGGAAAGGGAUGGUCCCGCGGCCCAUUAGCUUGUUGGUGGGGUAAUGGCCUACCAAGGCAAUGAUGGGUAGCCG
rnacentral:rRNA from 1 species